GGACUGUAGCACAGUGGUAGAGCACUUGCCUUGCACGUGUGAGGUCCUGGGUUCAAGCCCCAGCACCA
rnacentral:tRNA from 1 species